GGAGUUUGGACCGUGUCUCAGUUCCAAUGUGGGGGACCUUCCUCUCAGAACCCCUACCGAUCGCUGCCUUGGUGGGCCGUUACCCCGCCAACUAGCUAAUCGGACGCAUGCCCAUCUGUAACCUACGAAUAUUUGACAUGAAAACCAUGCGGCUUACAUGUGUUAUGCGGUGUUAGGCCGGAUUUCUCCGGGUUAUCCCCCUGUUACAGGCAGGUUGCAUACGCGUUACUCACCCGUGCGCCGGUCGCCGGCAUUGUAUUGCUACAACCCGCUGCCCCUCGACUUGCAUGUGUUAAGCCUGCCGCUAGCGUUCAUC
rnacentral:rRNA from 1 species